rnacentral:misc_RNA from 1 species
CUUAUCAUUUAGAGGAAGGAGAAGUCGUAACAAGGUUUCCGUAGGUGAACCUGCGGAAGGAUCAUUGUCGAAGCCUGCCCAGCAGAACGACCCGCGAACUUGUAUAAACAACCGGGGGCAGGGGGCGAUCUCGCCCCGUGCCCUCGAACGGCAGGGAGACACUCGUGCCUUCUUGUCGAACAACGAACCCCGGCGCGGUCUGCGCCAAGGAACAUCAAUUAAAGAGUGCCUCCGAUCGCCUCGGAAACGUGCGYGUGUCGGAGGCGAAUCUUGUACAAAACCAUAACGACUCUCGGCAACGGAUAUCUCGGCUCUCGCAUCGAUGAAGAACGUAGCGAAAUGCGAUACUUGGUGUGAAUUGCAGAAUCCCGCGAAUCAUCGAGUCUUUGAACGCAAGUUGCGCCCGAAGCCAUCUGGUCGAGGGCACGUCUGCCUGGGUGUCACGCAUCGUCGCCCCCAACCCCAUCGCCUCUCCAAGAGACGAGGGCAGUUUGCGGGGCGGACAUUGGCCUCCCGUGAGCUUCCACUUGCGGUUGGCCUAAAAGCGAGUCCUAGGCGACGAGCGCCACGACAAUCGGUGGUUGCCAAAACCCUCGUGUCCCGUCGUGCGUGCCUCGUUGCUCAUCCUGUGCUCUGUGACCCUAUAGCGUCGCGACCGCGACUCUUCCAAUGCGACCCCAGGUCAGGCGGGACUACCCGCUGAAUUUAAGCAUAUCAAUAAGCCGGAGGAA